rnacentral:rRNA from 1 species
AGCGAACGCUGGCGGCAUGCCUAACACAUGCAAGUCGAACGCCUUCUUCGGAAGGAGUGGCGCACGGGUGAGUAACGCGUGGGAACCUGCCCCGAGGUACGGAACAACAGCUGGAAACGACUGCUAAUACCGUAUGUGUCCUAAGGGAGAAAGAUUUAUCGCCUUGGGAGGGGCCCGCGUCCGAUUAGCUUGUUGGUGAGGUAACGGCUCACCAAGGCUUCGAUCGGUAGCUGGUCUGAAAGGAUGAUCAGCCACACUGGGACUGAGACACGGCCCAG